rnacentral:rRNA from 1 species
GACGUAGGGCGCGAGCGUUGUCCGGAUUUAUUGGGCGUAAAGAGCUCGUAGGCGGCUCAUCGCGUCAACCGUGAAAACCAGCAGCUCAACUGUUGGCUUGCGGUUGAUACGGGUGGGCUGGAGUUCGGUAGGGGAGACUGGAAUUCCUGGUGUAGCGGUGAAAUGCGCAGAUAUCAGGAGGAACACCGGUGGCGAAGGCGGGUCUCUGGGACGUUACUGACACUGAGGCGCGAAAGCGUGGGGAGCGAACAGG